AUGAGGAUCUGACAGCGGGAAGCAGUGGGAGACAGAAUGGAAGAAGGAAAGAAGAAGGCAGUUCCUCCUGUUUCCUGUGCCCAUUAGCUUUGUUCAAGCAGCAACGAUUGCUGGUUUCAGCCUACUGGUGCUCUUAGCGCUCCUGGUACCUGCCUCUGCUGGGUUCUUCUUCAAUAACCAAAUCACAAACUAGCACAAUUAAGUGGCUGCUGCCCUGUUUUGUUUGGGGAUAACUUUUUGUGCAGCAAUAGUAACCAGAACACCAGACUCUUUUCUUUCUUCCCUUCUUUUUCUUCUUUCUUGCUUUUUUCUCUCUUUUUGGCCACACCAUGCAUGGAGUGUGACAUGUGGUUUCCCAACCAGGGAUCAAACACACAGCGCCUGCAGUGGAAGCAGGCCUCCACAGAAGGUGCUCAAGCAAUAUUUUAUUGAAUAAAAGAAUAAAUGCCGAGAAACUAGAUGGGAGAAUCUGGGGGCAGUACACCAAUGGUAUUCUCCACCUGCUCUCAAAGUCUGCUUUACUUUGGCCCUAGAAUGAAGAAUCAAUUCAGGAAACAGUUCAGAAAUCAAAUUCCACUAUACAAACUUACCGUAUGCUCUUGAGUAAGAGCCCAGAGUUGCUGAGUUUCAACAUUUCUACCGAUUUAAAGAAAGAAGAGGAGAGAGAGGACAUUUUCUCAACUUCUGAGAUUCUGUUGGAAAGGAGAAAAGGCUGGAAGGAGGUGAGGCAGAAGCAAAAAGAGGGGAUAGAAGGACGUCGUGGUACACUCUUGGUAUGGCCAGUGGGAGCCCGGCGUUGUGGUCAUGGCAAGGCAUUUUCCCACUUUUCCCCACACUAGUCUCCCCCAGGAAUAGCAUCAUCACUGUUUCUUAAACACACUGUCCUUCAUCUGAUCACUUGCCACAGUUGCCUUUCCACUCUAACUUUCUGAAUUCCACCUAUUUUCAGGGUCCAGUUGAAUGGUCCCGUUCCAAGCAUUUCCCACCCACUCUCUUAUCGUCUUCUCUACCCCUUCCAUAACGUGGGUUUAGGAAAGAAACUCGUCUGAAUUUUGGCUCAGUAGUCAAGGAUUCACCUGCGAUGCAGAGACGCAGGAGGCACAGGUUCCAUCUCUGGGUCGGGAAGAUCCCCUGGAGAGGAAAUGGCAACCCACCCCAGUAUGCAUGCCUGGAAAAUUCCAUGGACUCGGGAGCCACACAUGCUACAGUCUAUGAGGUCACAGAGUUAGACGCGCUGAAGUGACUGAGCACGCAGUCUGCAUAACUUACUUGGAAACUGAGGAGCAACAGAUGGACGGGACAUGAUGCUUUUCUGUGGGUGCUAUAUAGACGUUCACUAAAGUACAAUGUCUUGCAAGCCCUUUAUGUUUCAACGUUUACAGCUGUGCUGGACCCAGUGCACAUCUGCUCUGUGAACUCCUGCUGGGUGAACAUAUAGAUUAAUGACUAAAUGAAUGCAUGAAAGGGUGCCCUGAGCUAACAGUUGCACAUAAAUGCAAGAAGCAUGAGGAUGCACAGCAAAGUAUCUGAGCAGGAGCUUUUCCCUGGCCCAGCACGCUCCUUCCCACAGAGUUCUC
ensembl:lincRNA